UCCCACCCGGUGCCCAGGAUGAGCCCCGAGCCCACCUGUCAGCUUCUGCAUUUCCUUGUGGUUCUUUGCUAGGUCAAGCUGGGCUCCGCGCUAGGGGGCCCCUACCUGGGAGUCCACCUGAGAAGAAAAGAUUUCAUCUGGGGUCACAGACAGGAUGUACCCAGUCUGGAAGGGGCCGUGAGGAAGAUCCGCAGCCUCAUGAAGACCCACCGGCUGGACAAGGUGUUUGUGGCCACAGAUGCCGUCAGAAAGGAAUAUGAAGAGCUAAAAAAGCUGUUACCCGAGAUGGUGAGGUUUGAACCCACGUGGGAGGAGCUGGAGCUCUACAAGGACGGAGGCGUUGCGAUUAUUGACCAGUGGAUCUGCGCACACGCCAGGUGCCUGCCCACGUCACUGUCGGCCGAGAGCGGGUCGGGUGGCUUUCAAAGGUUCUUCUGUCCC
rnacentral:sRNA from 1 species